CCUACGGGAGGCAGCAGUAGGGAAUCUUGCGCAAUGGGCGAAAGCCUGACGCAGCCAUGCCGCGUGAAUGAUGAAGGUCUUAGGAUUGUAAAAUUCUUUCACCGGGGGAAGAUAAUGACGGUACCCGGAGAAGAAGCCCCGGCUAACUUCGUGCCAGCAGCCGCGGUAAUACGAAGGGGGCUAGCGUUGCUCGGAAUUACUGGGCGUAAAGGGCGCGUAGGCGGAUAGUUUAGUCAGAGGUGAAAGCCCAGGGCUCAACCUUGGAAUUGCCUUUGAUACUGGCUAUCUUGAGUUCGGGAGAGGUGAGUGGAAUGCCGAGUGUAGAGGUGAAAUUCGUAGAUAUUCGGCGGAACACCAGUGGCGAAGGCGACUCACUGGCCCGAUACUGACGCUGAGGCGCGAAAGCGUGGGGAGCAAACAGGAUUAGAUACCCUGGUAGUCCACGCUGUAAACGAUGAGUGCUAGUUGUCGGCAUGCAUGCAUGUCGGUGACGCAGCUAACGCAUUAAGCACUCCGCCUGGGGAGUACGGUCGCAAGAUUAAAACUCAAAGGAAUUGACGG
rnacentral:rRNA from 1 species